rnacentral:rRNA from 1 species
GUGUCAGCCGCCGCGGUAAUACGUAGGGUGCGAGCGUUAAUCGGAAUUACUGGGCGUAAAGUGUGCGCAGGCGGCCCCGCAAGUCGAGUGUGAAAUCCCCGAGCUUAACUUGGGAAUGGCGCUCGAAACUACGGGGCUCGAGUGUGGCAGAGGGAGGUGGAAUUCCACGUGUAGCGGUGAAAUGCGUAGAGAUGUGGAGGAACACCAAUGGCGAAGGCAGCCUCCUGGGUCAACACUGACGCUCAUGCACGAAAGCGUGGGGAGCAAACAGGAUUAGAAACCCCCGUAGUCC